rnacentral:rRNA from 1 species
UGGGGAAUAUUGCACAAUGGGGGAAACCCUGAUGCAGCAACGCCGCGUGAGUGAAGAAGUGAUUCGUUAUGUAAAGCUCUAUCAGCAGGGAAGAAAAUGACGGUACCUGAGUAAGCAGCCCCGGCUAACUACGUGCCAGCAGCCGCGGUAAUACGUAGGGGGCAAGCGUUAUCCGGAUUUACUGGGUGUAAAGGGAGCGUAGACGGCCAUGCAAGUCUGAAGUGAAAUGCCAGUGCUCAACACUGGAACUGCUUUGGAAACUGUGAGGCUGGAGUGCAGGAGAGGUAAGUGGAAUUCCUAGUGUAGCGGUGAAAUGCGUAGAUAUUAGGAGGAACACCAGUGGCGAAGGCGGCUUACUGGACUGUAACUGACGUUGAGGCUCGAAAGCGUGGGGAGCAAACAGG